rnacentral:rRNA from 1 species
UAAUACAGAGGGUGCGAGCGUUAAUCGGAAUUACUGGGCGUAAAGAGUGCGUAGGUGGUUGGAUAAGUCAGAUGUGAAAGCCCUAGGCUUAACCUGGGAAUUGCGUUUGAUACUGUCUAGCUAGAGGAUGGGAGAGGGAAGUGGAAUUUCCGGUGUAGCGGUGAAAUGCGUAGAUAUCGGAAGGAACACCAGUGGCGAAGGCGGCUUCCUGGACCAUAACUGACACUGAGGCACGAAAGCGUGGGGAGCGAACAGG